rnacentral:snRNA from 8 species
AUACUUACCUGGCAAGGGAGACACCGUGAUCAAGAAGGCGGUUCACCCAGGGUGAGGCUCAGCCAUUGCACUCCGGCUGUGCUGACCCCUGCGAAUUUCCCAAAUGUGGAAAUCUCGAUUGCAUAAUUUCUGGUAGUGGUGGACUGCAUUCACGCUCUCCCCUG